rnacentral:rRNA from 1 species
GACGAACGCUGGCGGCGUGCCUAAUACAUGCAAGUAGAACGCUGAAGGAGGAGCUUGCUUCUCUGGAUGAGUUGCGAACGGGUGAGUAACGCGUAGGUAACCUGCCUGGUAGCGGGGGAUAACUAUUGGAAACGAUAGCUAAUACCGCAUAAGAGUAGAUGUUGCAUGACAUUUGCUUCAAAGGUGCAAUUGCAUCACUACCAGAUGGACCUGCGUUGUAUUAGCUAGUUGGUGGGGUAACGGCUCACCAAGGCGACGAUACAUAGCCGACCUGAGAGGGGGAUCGGCCACACUGGGACUGAGACACGGCCCAGACUCCUACGGGAGGCAGCAGUAGGGAAUCUUCGGCAAUGGACGGAAGUCUGACCGAGCAACGCCGCGUGAGUGGAGAAGGGUUUCGGAUCGUAAAGCUCUGUUGUAAGAGAAGAACGAGUGUGAGAGUGGAAAGUUCACACUGUGACGGUAUCUUACCAGAAAGGGACGGCUAACUACGUG